rnacentral:rRNA from 1 species
UACGUAGGGUGCAAGCGUUGUCCGGAAUUAUUGGGCGUAAAGAGCUCGUAGGCGGUUUGUCGCGUCUGCUGUGAAAACUCGGGGCUCAACUCCGAGCUUGCAGUCGAUACGGGCAGGCUAGAGUUCGGUAGGGGAGACUGGAACUCCUGGUGUAGCGGUGGAAUGCGCAGAUAUCAGGAAGAACACCGGUGGCGAAGGCGGCUCUCUGGGCCUUACCUGACGCUGAGGAGCGAAAGCGUGGGUAGCGAACAGG